CCUACGGGUGGCUGCAGUGAGGAAUAUUGGUCAAUGGACGAGAGUCUGAACCAGCCACGUCGCGUGAAGGAUGACUGCCCUAUGGGUUGUAAACUUCUUUUAUAUGGGAAUAAAACGUUCCACGUGUGGGAUUUUGUAUGUACCAUAUGAAUCCGGAUCGGCUAACUCCGUGCCAGCAGCCGCGGUACUAAGGAGGCUACGAGCGUUAUCCGGAUUUAUGUGGUUUAACGGGAGCGUAGGUGGAUUGUUAAGUCAGUUGUGAAAGUUUGCGGCUCAACCGUAAAAUUGCAGUUGAAACUGGCAGUCUUGAGUACAGUAGAGGUGGGCGGAAUUCGUGGUGUAGCGGUGAAAUGCUUAGAUAUCACGAAGAACUCCGAUUGCGAAGGCAGUUCACUGGACUGCAACUGACACUGAGGCUCGAAAGUGUGGGUAGCAAACAGGAUUAGAUACCCUUGUAGUC
rnacentral:rRNA from 1 species